rnacentral:rRNA from 1 species
AACGAACGCUGGCGGCAUGCCUAACACAUGCAAGUCGAACGAAGUCUUCGGACUUAGUGGCGCACGGGUGCGUAACGCGUGGGAACCUGCCCUUGGGUACGGAAUAACUCAGAGAAAUUUGUGCUAAUACCGUAUAAUGUCUUCGGACCAAAGAUUUAUCGCCCAAGGAUGAGCCCGCGUAAGAUUAGCUAGUUGGUGGGGUAAAAGCCUACCAAGGCGACGAUCUUUAGCUGGUCUGAGAGGAUGAUCAGCCACACUGGGACUGAGACACGGCCCAGACUCCUACGGGAGGCAGCAGUGGGGAAUAUUGGACAAUGGGCGAAAGCCUGAUCCAGCAAUGCCGCGUGAGUGAUGAAGGCCCUAGGGUUGUAAAGCUCUUUUACCAGGGAUGAUAAUGACAGUACCUGGAGAAUAAGCUCCGGCUAACUCCGUG